CGGGGCGUAGCGCAGUCUGGUUAGCGCGCUUGACUCGGGUUCAAGAGGCCGGAGGUUCAAAUCCUCUCGCCCCGACCA
rnacentral:tRNA from 2 species